rnacentral:rRNA from 1 species
GGAGUUAGCCGGUGCUUCUUCUGUGAGUGAUGUCCUUCCUGCCGGCUAUUAACCCGCAGGCCUUCUUCCUCACUGAAAGUGCUUUACAACCCGAAGGCCUUCUUCACACACGCGGCAUGGCUGGAUCAGGGUUGCCCCCAUUGUCCAAUAUUCCCCACUGCUGCCUCCCGUAGGAGUCUGGGCCGUGUCUCAGUCCCAGUGUGGAUGAUCAUCCUCUCAGACCAGCUACGGAUCGUCGCCUUGGUGAGCCGUUACCUCACCAACCAGCUAAUCCGACAUAGGCUCAUCCGAUAGCGCGAGGCCCGAAGGUCCCCCGCUUUCCCCCGUAGGGCGUAUGCGGUAUUAGCCUGGGUUUCCCCAGGUUAUCCCCCACUACCGGGCAGAUUCCUAUGCAUUACUCACCCGUCCGCCGCUCGCCACCAGGGAGCAAGCUCCCCGUGCUGCCGCUCGACUUGCAUGUGUUAGGCCUGCCGCCAGCGUUCAAUCUGAGCCAUGAUCAAACUCUGA